CUACGGGUUGCUCCAGUGGGGAAUAUUGCACAAUGGGGGAAACCCUGAUGCAGCGACGCCGCGUGAAGGAUGACGGAUUUCGGUCUGUAAACUUCUAUCAGCAGGGAAGAUAGUGACUGUACCUGACUAAGAAGCCCCGGCUAACUACGUGCCAGCAGCCGCGGUAAUACGUAGGGGGCAAGCGUUAUCCGGAAUUACUGGGUGUAAAGGGUGCGUAGGUGGCGAGUUAAGUUAGAUGUGAAAGCCCGGGGCUCAACCUCGGGACUGCAUUUAAAACUGGCUUGCUAGAAUACAGGAGAGGUAAGUGGAAUUCCUAGUGUAGCGGUGAAAUGCGUAGAUAUUAGGAGGAACACCAGUGGCGAAGGCGACUUACUGGACUGUUAUUGACACUGAGGCACGAAAGCGUGGGGAGCGAACAGGAUUAGAUACCCUAGUAGUC
rnacentral:rRNA from 1 species